rnacentral:rRNA from 1 species
GGUGACUAUAGCAAGGAGGUCACACCUGUUCCCAUGCCGAACACAGAAGUUAAGCUCCUUAGCGUCGAUGGUAGUCGAACUUACGUUCCGCU